AAAGACCCUGAGACCGCAGACCCCCCAAAUAGAGCCCAAGACAUAAAAGCACAUGAGGACAGGCAGAUGCAAAGAGAUAUUGUAGACGCACGCCUGCAAAAUCAGAUGUCAGCAUUACCGACCUCGACUGCCUGCAGUUUGGACGUCCUGCUCGUCUCUAUCGGCGCAGCGCUGCAAACUGAUGGGAAGCAGCUGGGGCCGCGGAGCUGCCCUGCGUUGCCAUGGCCACCGCUGUCAACACCAUCUGACCUGAGAACCUGAGGAACAAUCGUAAAGUCUGUCCAUGAGUGCAGGAGCAGGUGUGGCGGUUGUACUUCCUUUCCCCGGCCCUGUGUGCCAUCCAGAGCAGCACCAGAGGCUCGGGCUGAUGUGGAUUAGUGAUUCGGGGCGCUCUGACUCGCACUGCCACAGGAUUGGGAGCACAGCUGGUUUUUUACAGUUGGUCAGCACAACCUGUAUGGGGCCACAAUCACUCUUCAUCCAGCCCACUCAAAGACACUGUUUCCUCUCAGCUCCACUCUCUCUCUCUCUCUCUCUCUCUCUCUCUCUCUCUCUGCCCAGGACCAAAGUAUUUGCCUUUAAAUGUAAAUCCAUAAUCCUCCCUCCCAUCUUUUCUUUCCUCUCCUUCCCCGCUACCCUUUCUCCUUUCACUUUCCUGCGCAUAUCUGUCCACCCAUCCCUCCAUCCUCUCUCCCCGUGAGCGCAAGCACCUCUUCAUCCCCUCGUUAUUGCCAAUCCUCUGCAUUUUCCAGUGCCCAGUGUCACCUGCUUUGUAAUCUGAUUACUUCACAGAGGAAUUAGUAUGUAUAUUUAAUGUAGGCAUUUUUUUUUCCUUCUUCUUUUUCUCCCCUCUCUCUCUCUC